rnacentral:rRNA from 1 species
AGUUUGUCGUUUAUUAAUGACAAAUACUUUCUGCCCGGUGAUAUUUUUAACGGCCGCGGUACUCUGACCGUGCAAAGGUAGCAUAAUCAUUUGCUUUUUAAUUGGGGGCUUGUAUGAAGGAAAAAACGAAUGCCUAGCUGUCUCUGUGUAAGGGUUAGAAUUUUCUGUUGUUGUAAAGAAGCAACAAUGCCAAAAAGGGACAAGAAGACCCUAUCGAGCUUUAUUGUUUCUAAGAGCUGGGCUAAUAUUAAUAAAGGCUGUGAUUUUGUGAGCAAUUUCGUUGGGGCGACGAAAAAAGAAUAAAUCUUUUUUGAGUAUAAAACUUUAUCGGUUCAACCUUGAACGGCUGUUGGCCUUUGAGAGAACUAGUUACCGUAGGGAUAACAGCGUAAUUCUUUUUGAGAGUCCGAAUCGAAAGAAGAGAUUGCGACCUCGAUGUUGACUUACUUUUUCCUUUCUGGCGCAGAAGCUAUGAGGGUUGGUCUGUUCGACCAUUAAAAUAGU